GUUCCAACUAGUACAAUUAAUAAUUUGAGGAACUUCUUCUAAUUAUAACCUCAAGCUUCCUGGAUCUUCUGUGCAUGAUGGAUGCUUCUGAGGAUGCUGUCUUAGUCCAUUUGGGCUGCUGCAACAGAACGCAUAGGCUGGGUGGUUUAUGAACAACAGGAAUUUAUUUCCCACAGUUUUGGAGGCUGGGAAGUCCAGGAUCAGAGGACGCACCAGAAGAUGCAGUGUCUGGCAGAAAAGGAGAAAAUGGAAGACGGAAAUGGUAAGGUGAUGAAUGAAAAUGGGAAAGUGCCAUGAUCUCUAGAAGAAAUGGCAAGG